ACGAACGCUGGCGGCAUGCCUAAGACAUGCAAGUCGAACGGUAGAGGGGCAACCCUUGAGAGUGGCGAACGGGUGAGUAAUGCAUCGGAACGUGCCCAGUCGUGGGGGAUAACGCAGCGAAAGCUGUGCUAAUACCGCAUGUGAUCUGUGGAUGAAAGCAGGGGACCGCAAGGCCUUGUGCGAUUGGAGCGGCCGAUGUCAGAUUAGCUAGUUGGUAGGGUAAAGACC
rnacentral:rRNA from 1 species